rnacentral:ncRNA from 1 species
GGAAGAGUGUUUCAGUUCUAAAUUUUUAUUUAUUUUUAAAUUUAAUGUAAAUUUUUGUGUUAUACUAAAGUUCGUUAUAAAUAGGGGGGCUUACCUGAAAUUCAGUGGUUACAGUAAUUAGUUUUUUAAAUUUAAAAAUUUAAGAUAAAGAUAAUAAUAUUUAGUACAAACUAAAUUUGUGCCAGCAGUUGCGGUUACACAAAUUGUGCUAUAAAAAUAGUUUAGAUGAAGUUAAAAAUUAAGUUAGAUAAGUUAAAAAUUUAGAGUAAUUUUAUUAGGUGAAAUUUUAUUUUUAUAAAAUUUUUAAAUAUAUAAUAUUUUGAAGCUUAGAAAUUUUGUUUUAAAACUAGGAUUAGAUACCCUAUUAUUAAAAUGUAAUUAUUUUAUCUAAAUUAGUGCUAGGAGAGAAAAUUAGUAGAGAUUUUAUAUUCUUGAAAAUUAAGAAGAAUGGCGGUAUUUUAGUCUUUUCAGAGGAACCUGUCCUGUAAUUGAUAGUCCACGAUUUUUAUUACUUUUUUUUUUAGUUUAUAUAUCGCUGUGGUUGAAUAUUUUUUUUGAGGGGUUUAAUAUUCAGAGUUUUUAAAAAAAGAAAUUCAGGUCAAGAUGUAGCUUAUAAAAAAGAAGAGAUGGGUUACAAUAAUUUAAAUUUUGGAAAAAUUUUUUAAAAUAAUCUUAAAAUUGGAUUUGAGAGUAAUUAUGUAAAAUUCAUACAAAAUGAUUUUAGCUCUAAAAUGUGUACAUAUCGCCCGUCGCUUUCAUUUUAAAAUGAAAUAAGUCGUAACAUAGUAGGUGUACUGGAAGGUGUCUCUAGAAGACA